rnacentral:misc_RNA from 1 species
UCCACAAACGUAUGAUGGUUUCUAACUCACAUUGAAAUCUUUUUUGCCUUGCUCUGUGUCAUACAUCAGUUUCCUAUCGUUUACUUUUAACUGUGGAAUAUAAGAAUAUUAAAUUAAGAAAGAAAAGGUCUAUUAAAUGGACACGUUAUAAAUUGUGUCACUUACAAUUCCUUUUGCUUUUCAAUGGUUCAGCGUCAGUUAUGUUCUCACUGUUGAACUGCACUGGAACUGUUGGAUGAAAUCAACGUCAUCGCCAACCUGCAGGAAAUAUUUGAAUCAUUACAAUAGAACAAUUUUCUGUUAAUUUUUUUUAAUAAUUCCAUUCUUAUACCCAGCGGUAAACUUUGACUAACUUUGUUAUUUUGAUAGUACUAUAUUUUGAAUACUAAUAUUAUUUUUAAAACACAAGUCAUAGACAAU